rnacentral:rRNA from 1 species
GAUGAACGCUGGCGGCGUGCUUAACACAUGCAAGUCGAGCGAGUGAGUUCUUCGGAACGAUCUAGCAGCGGACGGGUGAGUAACACGUGGGCAACCUGCCUCAUAGAGGGGAAUAGCCUUCCGAAAGGAAGAUUAAUACCGCAUAACAUCGUUGAAGGGCAUCCUUCGAUGAUCAGAGGAGCAAUCCGCUAUGAGAUGGGCCCGCGGCGCAUUAGCUAGUUGGUGAGGUAACGGCUCACCAAGGCGACGAUGCGUAGCCGACCUGAGAGGGUGAUCGGCCACAUUGGGACUGAGACACGGCCCAGACUCCUACGGGAGGCAGCAGUGGGGAAUAUUGCACAAUGGGGGAAACCCUGAUGCAGCAACGCCGCGUGAGUGAUGAUGGCCUUCGGGUUGUAAAGCUCUGUCUUUGGGGACGAUAAUGACGGUACCCAAGGAGGAAGUCACGGCUAACUACGUGCCAGCAGCCGCCGUAAAAC